CCUACGGGGGGCAGCAGUGAGGAAUAUUGGUCAAUGGGCGCGAGCCUGAACCAGCCAAGUAGCGUGAAGGAUGACUGCCCUACGGGUUGUAAACUUCUUUUAUAAAGGAAUAAAGUGAGGCACGUGUGCCGUUUUGCAUGUACCUUAUGAAUAAGGAUCGGCUAACUCCGUGCCAGCAGCCGCGGUAAUACGGAGGAUCCGAGCGUUAUCCGGAUUUAUUGGGUUUAAAGGGAGCGUAGGUGGGUUGUUAAGUCAGUUGUGAAAGUUUGCGGCUCAACCGUAAAAUUGCAUUUGAUACUGGCAGCCUUGAGUACAGUAGAGGUAGGCGGAAUUCGUGGUGUAGCGGUGAAAUGCUUAGAUAUCACGAAGAACUCCGAUUGCGAAGGCAGCCUGCUGGACUGCAACUGACGCUGAUGCUCGAAAGUGUGGGUAUCAAACAGGAUUAGAUACCCUUGUAGUC
rnacentral:rRNA from 1 species